rnacentral:rRNA from 1 species
UGCAGUCGACGGUAACAGGAAGCAGCUUGCUGCUUUGCUGACGAGUGGCGGACGGGUGAGUAAUGUCUGGGAAACUGCCUGAUGGAGGGGGAUAACUACUGGAAACGGUAGCUAAUACCGCAUAACGUCGCAAGACCAAAGAGGGGGACCUUCGGGCCUCUUGCCAUCGGAUGUGCCCAGAUGGGAUUAGCUUGUUGGUGGGGUAACGGCUCACCUAGGCGACGAUCCCUAGCUGGUCUGAGAGGAUGACCAGCCACACUGGAACUGAGACACGGUCCAGACUCCUACGGGAGGCAGCAGUGGGGAAUAUUGCACAAUGGGCGCAAGCCUGAUGCAGCCAUGCCGCGUGUAUGAAGAAGGCCUUCGGGUUGUAAAGUACUUUCAGCGGGGAGGAAGGGAGUAAAGUUAAUACCUUUGCUCAUUGACGUUACCCGCAGAAGAAGCACCGGCUAACUCCGUGCCAGCAGCCGCGGUAAUACGGAGGGUGCAAGCGUUAAUCGGAAUUACUGGGCGUAAAGCGCACGCAGGCGGUUUGUUAAGUCAGAUGUGAAAUCCCCGGGCUCAACCUGGGAACUGCAUCUGAUACUGGCAAGCUUGAGUCUCGUAGAGGGGGGUAGAAUUCCAGGUGUAGCGGUGAAAUGCGUAGAGAUCUGGAGGAAUACCGGUGGCGAAGGCGGCCCCCUGGACGAAGACUGACGCUCAGGUGCGAAAGCGUGGGGGAGCAAACAGGAUUAGAUACCCUGGAUAGUCCACGCCGUAAACGAUGUCGACUUGGAGG